CUUCGGGGUACUCGAUUGGUGUUUGGGUGAGUAACACGUGAGCAACCUGCCCCAUGUUUUGGGAUAACCCUCGGAAACGGGGGCUUAUACCGAAUAUUACUUCUGGCCGCAUGGCUGGUGGUGGAAAGUUUUUCGGCUUGGGAUGGGCUCGCGGCCUAUCAGCUUGUUGGUGGGGUGAUGGCCUACCAAGGCGACGACGGGUAGCCGGUCUGAGAGGGCGACCGGCCACACUGGGACUGAGACACGGCCCAGACUCCUACGGGAGGCAGCAGUGGUGAAUAUUGCACAAUGGGCGGAAGCCUGAUGCAGCGACGCCGCGUGAGGGAUGACGGCCUUCGGGUUGUAAACCUCUUUCACCAGGGACGAAGCGUUAGUGACGGUACCUGCAGAAUAAGCACCGGCCAAUUACGUGCUAGCAGCCGCGGUAAGACGUAUGUUGUGAUCGUUGUCCGGAUUUAUUGGUUUUUAAUAGCUCGUAUGUGGCUUGUCG
rnacentral:rRNA from 1 species